rnacentral:misc_RNA from 1 species
AAAAGCUCCACCUUCUUCCAAAUUCAACACUUUCACAACCCCAUCAUCCACAAGCAUAGCAUAUCUUCUAGACCUAACACCAAGUCCAAUAGGCUUAUCAGUAAGGUCAAGUUCACACCCAAUUGCCUUUGUAAACUCCAAAUUCCCAUCACUCAACAGCAAAACUUCAUCACUAAUGUUCAAAUUCUCCUUCCAAGCUUUCAUCACAAAAGCAUCAUUAACCGAAAUACAAGCAAUUGUAUCAACCCCUUUCGAUUUUAGCUCCUUCGACUUCUCCACGAAACCAGGAAGAUGUUUCUGUGAACAUGUUGGUGUAAAUGCACCUGGGACGGCGAAAAGAACAACCUUUUUCCCAGAUGUGAGGUCAGAGACGGAAAGGGUCUGGAGUUCAUCGGAUGAAUCGAAGUAGGAAAGUGUGGAAUUGGGUAAUUUGUCUCCGACGGAGAUGACGGCGGAGAUUCUUGGAGUGGUGUAUGAAAGGGGUCGUACGGUGCGCUUUGAGUGAUGUACCUUGAAUGGAACAGAUGAAAUGGAGAAAGAAGAAGAAAGAGUGGAUUUUGGGGAAAAAAGGGAUAUGGAUUUUGGGCUAAUGGAGGAUUUGCAGAGCUUUGGAAGGGUGAAAAUGGCAGCAGCUGUAGUGGCAGCCAUUGUUGUUGUACUCAAGAAAAUUU